AUGUACCCCAUUAAACUGAAAUAUACCACAGUGUGGAAGGCAGAACAAAGGGCAAUGAAAAAUUUAUAUGGUGAUUGGGAAAAUACAUUUAGGAUGCUUUACAACUUCAAAGCAGAGGUGGAAAAGAGGUCACCUGGCAGUGUUGUGGAGAUAGAUACAGAGGUAUCAGCCGAAGGUGAAGUCAAGUUCUCCAAGUUUUUUAUGGCUUUGAAGCCUUGCAUCGAUGGGUUCAAAGCAGGGUGCCAUCCAUAUUUGAGCAUAGACUCAUCAUUUUUGACAGGCAAGUGGAAUGGUCAGUUGGCAACAUGCAAUGCUCUAUGGACACAACUGGAUGUUUCCUAUUGCUGUUGGCUUGUUUCAGUCAGAAACAGAGGCUUCAUGGACAUGGUUCAUGAUCCAGUUGAAAAGAUGCCUAGGGCCAGUGUCACCUUUGGCUAUACACACUUUUCAUUUUCAAAACCCCACCUACUCUCGGGUGCCCACUACUCUCUUCCUUGA
rnacentral:rRNA from 1 species